rnacentral:snRNA from 1 species
UAUUAAUUAGUUAUGUGUCUGU